rnacentral:rRNA from 1 species
UACGGGGGGAGCAAGCGUUGUUCGGAUUUACUGGGCGUAAAGGGCGCGUAGGCGGCGCAACAAGUCACUUGUGAAAUCUCCGGGCUUAACCCGGAGCGGUCAAGUGAUACUGUCGUGCUAGAGUGCGGAAGGGGCAACUGGAAUUCCAGGUGUAGCGGUGAAAUGCGUAGAUAUCUGGAGGAACACCGGUGGCGAAGGCGGCAUCCUGGACCGGUAUUGACGCUGAUGCGCGAAAGCCAGGGGAGCAAACGGG